rnacentral:rRNA from 1 species
AGAGUUUGAUCCUGGCUCAGGAUGAACGCUAGCUACAGGCUUAACACAUGCAAGUCGAGGGGCAGCAUUUUAGUUUGCUUGCAAACUGAAGAUGGCGACCGGCGCACGGGUGAGUAACACGUAUCCAACCUGCCGAUAACUCCGGGAUAGGCUUUCGAAAGAAAGAUUAAUACCGGAUAGUAUACGAAUAUCGCAUGAUAUUUUUAUUAAAGAAUUUCGGUUAUCGAUGGGGAUGCGUUCCAUUAGUUUGUUGGCGGGGUAACGGCCCACCAAGACUACGAUGGAUAGGGGUUCUGAGAGGAAGGUCCCCCACAUUGUAACUGAGACACGGUCCAAACUCCUACGGGAGGCAGCAGUGAGGAAUAUUGGUCAAUGGGCGCGAGCCUGAACCAGCCAAGUAGCGUGAAGGAUGAAGGCUCUAUGGGUCGUAAACUUCUUUUAUAUGGGAAUAAAGUUUUCCACGUGUGGAAUUUUGUAUGUACCAUAUGAAUAAGGAUCGGCUAACUCCGUGCCAGCAGCCGCGGUAAUACGGAGGAUCCGAGCGUUAUCCGGAUUUAUUGGGUUUAAAGGGAGCGUAGGUGGAUUGUUAAGUCAGUUGUGAAAGUUUGCGGCUCAACCGUAAAAUUGCAGUUGAAACUGGCAGUCUUGAGUACAGUAGAGGUGGGCGGAAUUCGUGGUGUAGCGGUGAAAUGCUUAGAUAUCACGAAGAACUCCGAUUGCGAAGGCAGCUCACUAGAUUGUCACUGACACUGAUGCUCGAAAGUGUGGGUAUCAAACAGGAUUAGAUACCCUGGUAGUCCACACAGUAAACGAUGAAUACUCGCUGUUUGCGAUAUACAGUAAGCGGCCAAGCGAAAGCAUUAAGUAUUCCACCUGGGGAGUACGCCGGCAACGGUGAAACUCAAAGGAAUUGACGGGGGCCCGCACAAGCGGAGGAACAUGUGGUUUAAUUCGAUGAUACGCGAGGAACCUUACCCGGGCUCAAAUUGCAACAGAAUAUAUUGGAAACAGUAUAGCCGUAAGGCUGUUGUGAAGGUGCUGCAUGGUUGUCGUCAGCUCGUGCCGUGAGGUGUCGGCUUAAGUGCCAUAACGAGCGCAACCCUUAUCUUUAGUUACUAACAGGUUAUGCUGAGGACUCUAGAGAGACUGCCGUCGUAAGAUGUGAGGAAGGUGGGGAUGACGUCAAAUCAGCACGGCCCUUACGUCCGGGGCUACACACGUGUUACAAUGGGGGGUACAGAAGGCGGCUACCUGGUGACAGGAUGCUAAUCCCAAAAACCUCUCUCAGUUCGGAUCGAAGUCUGCAACCCGACUUCGUGAAGCUGGAUUCGCUAGUAAUCGCGCAUCAGCCAUGGCGCGGUGAAUACGUUCCCGGGCCUUGUACACACCGCCCGUCAAGCCAUGAAAGCCGGGGGUACCUGAAGUACGUAACCGCAAGGAGCGUCCUAGGGUAAAACUGGUAAUUGGGGCUAAGUCGUAACAA